GCCCGCUCCCCUGCCCGCUCUGCGAGGCGGAGCUCGAUUUGGUCGGGAGGUCGAGAGCCAGACCUCCCCGUCUCCCCGAGCUGCUUCGCAUGAAAGCCCCCGUGCCACAGGGCAUCUUCACGAGGAGCCCCACAACCUCCUACUACCUCCCGUCAUCGUCCCGCUCCGGCAGCAGCCGCCGCGCGCCAAGCCAUCGCAGACUCGAGCUCCCAUGCCACCCCGCGUCGACUACAAGCUCCUGGUGAGCUCCGCCUUCCCCUUCUUCCGCUCUCCCGAGUCUCCUGGCAAGCACCCAUGUCUGGGACGAAGACGGCGAGGGCACCGGUGUGUUGUGAGUAGUGACGACCCUGGCCGCUCCCGCGCGUCGUGCUCGGAUUCAGGCGGGAUCCGGUCAGGGCCGGCGCUGUGAGUACAGUGCCCUAGCACACUUUGAUGGAAUUUGAACUGUAUCCAUUUUUUUCAAGCAUUACACUCCUGAGCGAUCGUUGAUCUUCAUGAAAACUGUAAUGAUGCGUACCUUAGAAAUAAUAUAUGAAACAUUUAUUCCCUAAACAACCCUGCAAAGAUGCAAUUUUGUGGUCUUCAAAGAUAACCGCUGGUACAUAUUAGCCAUGUUGAUAAGUGGCAAUGCAUGUAUUUUGCACAAAACUAUGCAAAUCAAUUAAUUGCUUGAUUUGUUCCAGUGUAUUGGUCUGAAAACCUGACUGACUUACCUUUUUUCGAUUGCAGAGGCAGUUGCUCUCGUCGUAUGGUUCUGGUGGAGACGAAAAUAAACCUGAAGGCAUGGAAAAUCUCGGGUCCUAGAGUAGCCAUCUCCCAUCCAUGGUAACGAGUGAGUGAGCGAGCAUCAGUCAUUCACCAUAGCAGUUUCAGUUGUUCCGAGAGACGCUUGUGUUCUCCUUGUACUGGUCCUGUCGGCGUCUAGUCUGGCUAUUUAUGAAUGUUGGUUGGGGCAGUGACAUUUGUACAGCUUCCGAAAUGGUGCUCUAACCCUAGGCUAGUGUUGCUUAUCAAGUUGGUGUAGAUAGCCAGUUUUGUGUGCUCAAGCAAUUCUUUUCCCUGGGGUGGGGCCUAGCUCAAGAUGGUUCUUGUAUGUAUAAUCUUUAUAUGCUUGUGGAUGUACAUAUGUGUUAUCAUGUAAACGUUUGAGAUCUGCGAGUAUCCGAUCAAGGCAAAUAAUAAGCUGAAUAAUAAUCCAGCUGGGUGUAUUCUCCACCACAA